UUAGGUUUGUAAAGCUCUUGUACCCGGGUAUGAUAAUCACAGUACCGUGGAGAAUAAGCUCCGGCUAACUCCGUGCCAGCAUGCCGCGGUAAUACGGAGGGAGUUAGCGUUGUUCGGAAUUACUGGGCGUAAAGCGCACGUAGGCGGCUAUUCAAGUCAGAGGUGAAAGCCCGGGGCUCAACCCCGGAAUCUGCCUUUGAUAACUAGAUAGUCUUGAAUCCAGGAGUAGGUGAGUGGAAUUCCGAGUGUAGAGGUGAAAUUCGUAGAUAUUCGGAAGAAUCACCAGUGGUCGAAGUGCGGCUCAUCUGGACUGGUAUUGACGUCUGAGGUGCGAAAGCGUGGGGAGCAAACAGGAUUAGAUACCCCUGGUAGUCCACGCCGUAAACGAUGAUAACUAGCUGUCAGGGCACAUGGUGUUUUGGUGGCGCAGCUAACGCGUUAAGUUAUCCGCCUGGGGAGUACGGUCGCAAGAUUAAAACUCAAAGGAAUUGACGG
rnacentral:rRNA from 2 species